CGUAAUAUGGCCCCAUAUAAAGAGAAACCGAAAUAUCUCUCCAUCUACAGUGACUCCUAGUCCAAUCUCCUCUCGUACGGCCCCAUAUCAACCAGAAAGAGGAGAAGAAGUAUCUCUUCAUCUCCAGUCACUCCGAGUCACAUCUCCUCUCGCAUGGCCUCCUGAUCCGUGUUUCCUUGUAAAAGUAUGUGAUCAGUGGCAGGAGAUCAAAAUAUAAAUAAAAACAGCAUGAGCACCAAUAAAGUCUCUAGUAAUUCUCCGUCAAAAUCCCUCUAUACAUGUUCAUCUCCUUCAACUCUGUCGUCUCCUUCUCCAAUACCAAACCAAUCAACGACUGGAAACUCAAUGGAAGAAGUUUGGAAUGAUAUAAACCUAGCUUCUCUUCAUGAACAUCCAAAUAGUCACACAGGCAGCAACAACAACACCGACGACCAUGUUUUUCAUGGUAUGAUGUUUCAAGACCUCUUGGCUAGAUCUUCCAAUAAAGACACACCAACAAGGGUUGCCUCUAAGGAACCCUCAUCUGGUGGGGGCAACAAUUUCUUGAAGAACUCUUUAGGGCCGCCACCAGCUACUAUGCUGAAUUUGAAUUAUGGAAAAAGGCCUCAAGAAAACGAUGACGUUUCUGGCGGCGAUCGGAGGCAUGAGCGCAUGAUCAAGAACAGAGAAUCUGCAGCUCGGUCCCGGGCUAGGAAGCAGGAAUCUUUCUCUCCUUCUAAAAAACUGUUUUAGUGAAAUUUAAUGAUUAUAUAACAUUAAUGGUUUUAUUUAUUUAGUUUACCCUUUUGCAGGCUUACACGACCGAGUUGGAACUUAAAGUUGCUCUGUUAGGAGAGGAGAAUGCCAAGCUUAGAAAGCAGCAAGAAAGGUUCUUGGCAGCAGCUCCUGCUCAGCCACCAAAAAAGCACACCCUCUAUCGAACCUCAACGGCUCCAUUUUGAGAAGUAAGAAAUUUAUGCUUAGCCCAUUUACUCCUUUCAUCCCUUUAUGUUUCCACUUGGCUAUCUUGCCAAAAACUUCCUUGAAAAGAGGGAGAUGUUUUCCAUAUAUCAUUUCAAAGGGCUUUUGAUGUAAAAGAAAGGAGGGGAAAAGAGAGGUAGGAAAGUAGCAAGGACAAAUUAAAGUUGCCUGGACGCCAAGCCGCAGGACCAGUUGAGGGGUCGUAUUUUAUUUUCUUGAACCACUAUUUCUUCACUCCUUUGUCUUCUUUUCCAUGUUUGCUUUCUAAUUUUCCUCCUCCUAUGUGGACGCUGUGACGUUGGGAGAGAUAAAUGCCAAGGGAAAAUAGCCUUAGCUUGUUUGUUUGCCUACAAAUAUGUAUAUAAAGAUGGGACCUGUUUGGCUAUCAAUGUCACUUUCUAUUCUAAUCUUAUCUAUUCAUUUUCA